UACGUAGGGCGCAAGCGUUGUCCGGAAUUAUUGGGCGUAAAGAGCUCGUAGGCGGUUGUCGCGUCUGCUGUGAAAACCUAAGGGCUACCAACUGGCUUGCAGUGGGUACGGGCAGACUAGAGUGCGGUAGGGGUGACUGGAAUUCCUGGUGUAGCGGUGAAAUGCGCAGAUAUCAGGAAGAACACCCGUGGCUAAGGCGG
rnacentral:rRNA from 1 species